AAGUGUUAAUGCAAGUAUUACGUCUGACCAAUUUGAAGAAGGCUGGUUAUAUUGCUUGAAGAAAGGCAAGACUCGAACACCUGAGCUUCCUUACUUUGAUUGGACAGGCCAAUUAAGGCCAUACCCAAUAUCAAGCCGUCGCUUGGUACCUGAGGGGAUCGAACUACCUGAUUGGGCUAGUGAUGGAAUUCCAAAGAUUGAACCCAUGAGCGAAUUGCAAAGUGUGGUUGAGAUCAAGACUCCAGAGCAGAUAGAGAGAAUGCGAGAAACAUGCCUGAUUGCAAGGGAGGUUUUAGACGCAGCUGCUUG
rnacentral:misc_RNA from 1 species